GGUUAAGCGACUAAGCGUACACGGUGGAUGCCUAGGCAAUCAGAGGCGAUGAAGGACGUGCUAAUCUGCGAUAAGCGUCGGUAAGGUGAUAUGAACCGUGAUAACCGACGAUUUCCGAAUGGGGAAACCCAGUGCAAUCCGUUGCACUAUCGUUUGAUGAAUACAUAGUCAAACGAAGCGAACCGGGGGAACUGAAACAUCUCAGUACCCCGAGGAAAAGAAAUCAACCGAGAUUCCCCUAGUAGCGGCGAGCGAACGGGGAGCAGCCCAGAGUCUUAAUCAGCAUUAGCAUCAGGAGAACGGUCUGGAAAGGCCGGCAGUAAAGGGUGAUAGCCCCGUAUCCGAAGGUGUUAGUGUUGUGAACUCGACGAGUAGGGCGGGACACGUGUUAUCCUGUCUGAAUAUGGGGGGACCAUCCUCCAAGGCUAAAUACUCCUGAUUGACCGAUAGUGAACCAGUACCGUGAGGGAAAGGCGAAAAGAACCCCGGCGAGGGGAGUGAAAUAGAACCUGAAACCGUGUACGUACAAGCAGUGGGAGCCCCACCACCAAAGCAUUUUCUGGUGUUGAGGACAACUUUGAAGUGACAUUCAACACGCGUUGGCGGAGCGUUUUUUGCGACGCCCAACACACAAAACAAGCAGUGAAUGUGCUUUGGGGUGGGGUGACUGCGUACCUUUUGUAUAAUGGGUCAGCGACUUAUAUUCUGUAGCAAGGUUAACCGUAUAGGGGAGCCGUAGGGAAACCGAGUCUUAACUGGGCGAAUAAGUUGCAGGGUAUAGACCCGAAACCCGGUGAUCUAGCCAUGGGCAGGUUGAAGGUUGGGUAACACUAACUGGAGGACCGAACCGACUAAUGUUGAAAAAUUAGCGGAUGACUUGUGGCUGGGGGUGAAAGGCCAAUCAAACCGGGAGAUAGCUGGUUCUCCCCGAAAGCUAUUUAGGUAGCGCCUCGUGAACUCAUCUUCGGGGGUAGAGCACUGUUUCGACUAGGGGGUCAUCCCGACUUACCAACUCGAUGCAAACUACGAAUACCGAAGAAUGUUAUCACGGGAGACACACGGCGGGUGCUAACGUUCGUCGUGAAGAGGGAAACAACCCAGACCGCCAGCUAAGGUCCCAAAGUCAUAGUUAAGUGGGAAACGAAGUGGGAAGGCUCAGACAGCCAGGAUGUUGGCUUAGAAGCAGCCAUCAUUUAAAGAAAGCGUAAUAGCUCACUGGUCGAGUCGGCCUGCGCGGAAGAUGUAACGGGGCUAAACUAUGCACCGAAGCUGCGGCAGCGAUAUGUAAAUAUUGUUGGGUAGGGGAGCGUUCUGUAAGCCUGUGAAGGUGUACUGCGAGGUAUGCUGGAGGUAUCAGAAGUGCGAAUGCUGACAUAAGUAACGAUAAUGCGGGUGAAAAACCCGCACGCCGGAAGACCAAGGGUUCCUGUCCAACGUUAAUCGGGGCAGGGUGAGUCGACCCCUAAGGCGAGGCAGAAAUGCGUAGUCGAUGGGAAACGGGUUAAUAUUCCCGUACUGGUGAUAAUUGCGAUGGGGGGACGGAGAAGGCUAGGCUAUCCGGGCGACGGUUGUCCCGGUUUAAGGAUGUAGGCAGGUGAAUUAGGCAAAUCCGGUUCACUAUAUGCUGAGGUCCGACGACGAGUCACUACGGUGAUGAAGUAGCUCAUGCCCCGCUUCCAGGAAAAGCCUCUAAGCUCUAGAUUAUCAUUAAUCGUACCCCAAACCGACACAGGUGGUCAGGUAGAGAAUACUCAGGCGCUUGAGAGAACUCGGGUGAAGGAACUAGGCAAAAUGGUGCCGUAACUUCGGGAGAAGGCACGCUGGCAUUAGGUGAAGUGAUUUACUCAUGGAGCUGAAGCCAGUCGCAGAUACCAGCUGGCUGCAACUGUUUAUUAAAAACACAGCACUGUGCAAACACGAAAGUGGACGUAUACGGUGUGACGCCUGCCCGGUGCUGGAAGGUUAAUUGAUGGGGUUAUCCGUAAGGAGAAGCUCUUGAUCGAAGCCCCAGUAAACGGCGGCCGUAACUAUAACGGUCCUAAGGUAGCGAAAUUCCUUGUCGGGUAAGUUCCGACCUGCACGAAUGGCGUAAUGAUGGCCAGGCUGUCUCCACCCGAGACUCAGUGAAAUUGAACUCGCUGUGAAGAUGCAGUGUACCCGCGGCAAGACGGAAAGACCCCGUGAACCUUUACUAUAGCUUGACACUGAACAUUGAGCCUUGAUGUGUAGGAUAGGUGGGAGGCUUUGAAGUGUGGACGCCAGUCUGCAUGGAGCCAACCUUGAAAUACCACCCUUUAAUGUUUGAUGUUCUAACGUAGCCCCGUUAUCCGGGGUGCGGACAGUGUCUGGUGGGUAGUUUGACUGGGGCGGUCUCCUCCCAAAGAGUAACGGAGGAGCACGAAGGUUGGCUAAGCAUGGUCGGACAUCAUGCGGUUAGUGCAAAGGCAUAAGCCAGCUUGACUGCGAGAGUGACGGCUCGAGCAGGUACGAAAGUAGGUCUUAGUGAUCCGGUGGUUCUGAAUGGAAGGGCCAUCGCUCAACGGAUAAAAGGUACUCCGGGGAUAACAGGCUGAUACCGCCCAAGAGUUCAUAUCGACGGCGGUGUUUGGCACCUCGAUGUCGGCUCAUCACAUCCUGGGGCUGAAGUAGGUCCCAAGGGUACGGCUGUUCGCCGUUUAAAGUGGUACGCGAGCUGGGUUUAGAACGUCGUGAGACAGUUCGGUCCCUAUCUGCCGUGGGCGUUGGAAGAUUGAAAGGGGCUGCUCCUAGUACGAGAGGACCGGAGUGGACGCACCACUGGUGUUCGGGUUGUCAUGCCAAUGGCAUUGCCCGGUAGCUAAGUGCGGAAGAGAUAACCGCUGAAAGCAUCUAAGCGGGAAACUUGCCUUGAGAUGAGUCUUCCCUGACUCUUUAAGGGUCCUAAAGGAACGUUUAAGACUAAGACGUUGAUAGGUUGGGUGUGUAAGCGUAGCGAUACGUUGAGCUAACCAAUACUAAUGAACCGUGAGGCUUAACCUG
rnacentral:rRNA from 1 species